rnacentral:rRNA from 1 species
GACGAACGCUGGCGGCGUGCUUAACACAUGCAAGUCGAACGGUAAGGCCCUGCUUUUGGGGGUUGCUCUAGUGUCUAACGGGUGAUUAACACGUGAGUAACCUGCCCUUGACUUUGGGAUAACUUCAUGAAACUGGGUCUAAUACCGGAUAGGAGCUCCUGCUGCAUGGUGGGGUUUGUAAAGUUUCGGCGGUUGGGGAUGGACUCGCGGCUUAUCAGCUUGUUGGUGGGGUAGUGGCUUACCAAGGCUUUGACGGGUAGCCGGCCUGAGAGGGUGACCGGGCACAUUGGGAAUGAGAUACGGGCCAGACUCCAACGGGAGGCAGGAGUGGGGGAUGUUGAAAGAUGGGCGGAAGCCUGAUGCAGCAACGCCGCGUGCGGGAUGACGGCCUUCGGGUUGGAAACCGAAUUCGCCUGUGAAGGAGCGUGAGUGACGGUAAUGGGUAAAGAAGCACCGGCUAACUACGUG